CAUGUCAAUAUAUGGCAAAACCCACUACAAUAUUGUAAAGUAAUCAGCCUCCAAUUAAGAUAAAUAAAUUAAAAAUCAGGCAAAUAGAUUUGAAAGUGAUAAAGGAUGUCUCUCCCUCUCUCUCUCUCUCUCUCUCUCUCUCUCUCUCUGUCUCUCUGUCUCUCUCUCUCUCUCCCCCCGCCACCCUUCUCUCUCUCUCUCACACACACACAUACACACUCUCUCAAGAGAUUUCAGAAGAUGGGAAGUUUAUGUCUAAUGGAGAAAUCCACAACAAAGGUUUCUGAGCUAAAAGGACUGGAAAGAUUUUGGAAAGGAAUAUUCAACUGAGUGGAGAUGAACUCCUGAAAGGAGGACACUAAUACUGAAAGAAGGUGGUAAAGAAAAGAAUCCAUUACAUUCUUCAGAGGCUCCCCAUUUUCCUCCUUUGAUGCCUAAUUAGGAUUCUGCAGAGUUGACUCAAAGGCAACUGAUGGCACGAAGUUAGAAGCUGAAAGGGCAGAUGACUCUUUUGAGGAAGCAUGAAAGAGUUCUGGAUCUCUCCUAAGCCAAAAGAAACAAAUGCAAAAGUUGAUAAAUGGCACCUAGUUACACGUUCCUUUUGCACACAAAAGGAAACCUUCGACAAAACAGAAAAUAAACAACUACUGGAACGGGAAAAUAUAUUUGUGAAUGAUAUGACCAACAAAAGGUUAAUAUCCAAAAUACAUAAACAGCUUAUGCAACUCAAUAUCAAACAAUUUAAAGAAUCCAAUCAAAAAAUGGCUGAAGACCUGACUAGGCAUUUUUCCAAAGAAGACAUACAGAUGGCCAAGAGGCAUGUGUGAAAAGAUGUUCAACAUUACUAAUUCUUAGAGAAAUUAGAGCAAUAAAGUAUCACCUCACAUAUGUCAGAAUGGAUAUUAUCAAAAAGAACACAAAUAACAAAUGUAGGAGAGAAUGUGGAGAAAGGAGAACCUUCGUACCCUGUUGUAUGGAAUAUAAAUUGAUGCAGCCACUAUAAAAAGCAAAAUGGAGGUUUCUUUAAAACUGUCAUAUGUUUCAGUUUUUCCACUCCUGGGUAUAUAUCCAGAAAAAAUGAAAACACUAAUAUGAAAGAUAUAUGCAUCUAAUGUUCCUAGUAGCAUUAUUUACAAUAGCC
ensembl:lncRNA